AGUUUUCUUUUUCUUCUUCUGAAAGUU
rnacentral:sRNA from 1 species